CUCUCUAUAAGCAUUUCAAAACAGAUAUUUGAACACUUUUGUGUCAGAUGAGGAUCACUGUAUAUCAGCUCCCAUCAGAUGAUACACUAGAUAAAUACACUGACUGUCAAACAGGCAAUGGCUUUCUUUCACACAGGUUUUUUAAGAGUGCCGAUCUCUGUGAUGCUGUGUAAGU